CACGUAGGGGGCAAGCGUUGUCCGGAUUUAUUGGGCGUAAAGAGCUCGUAGGUGGUUCGGUAAGUCGGGUGUGAAACCUCCAGGCUCAACCUGGAGACGCCACCCGAUACUGCUGUGACUGGAGUCCGGUAGGGGAGCGUGGAAUUCCUGGUGUAGCGGUGAAAUGCGCAGAUAUCAGGAGGAACACCAAUGGCGAAGGCAGCUCGCUGGAACGGUACUGACGCUGAGACGCGAAAGCGUGGGGAGCAAACAGG
rnacentral:rRNA from 1 species